rnacentral:rRNA from 1 species
CACGUAGGGUGCGAGCGUUGUCCGGAAUUAUUGGGCGUAAAGAGCUCGUAGGCGGUGUGUCGCGUCGGCCGUGAAAACCUGCAGCUUAACUGUGGGCUUGCGGUCGAUACGGGCAUCACUGGAGUUCGGCAGGGGAGACUGGAAUUCCUGGUGUAACGGUGAAAUGCGCAGAUAUCAGGAGGAACACCGGUGGCGAAGGCGGGUCUCUGGGCCGAUACUGGCGCUGAGGAGCGAAAGCGUGGGGAGCGAACAGG